rnacentral:rRNA from 1 species
UACAGGGGGGGCAAGCGUUGUUCGGAAUUACUGGGCGUAAAGGGUCUGUAGGUGGCUUGCUAAGUCAGACGUGAAAUCCCUCAGCUUAACUGGGGAACUGCGUCUGAUACUGGCGAGCUUGAGUGCAGGAGAGGAACGCGGAAUUCCAGGUGUAGCGGUGGAAUGCGCAGAUAUCAGGAGGAACACCAAUGGCGAAGGCAGCUCGCUGGGACGGUACUGACGCUGAGGCGCGAAAGCGUGGGGAGCAAACAGG